rnacentral:rRNA from 1 species
UACGAAGGGGGCUAGCGUUGCUCGGAAUCACUGGGCGUAAAGGGUGCGUAGGCGGGUCUUUUAAGUCAGGGGUGAAAUCCUGGAGCUCAACUCCAGAACUGCCUUUGAUACUGAAGAUCUUGAGUUCGGGAGAGGUGAGUGGAACUGCGAGUGUAGAGGUGAAAUUCGUAGAUAUUCGCAAGAACACCAGUGGCGAAGGCGGCUCACUGGCCCGGUACUGACGCUGAGGUGCGAAAGCGUGGGUAGCAAACAGG